rnacentral:rRNA from 1 species
AGGAUAAACGCUGGCGGCGUGCAUGAGACAUGCAAGUCGAACGGACGAUCGAGGCUUGCUUCGAUCGUUAGUGGCGGACGGCUGAGUAACGCGUAGGUGACCUGCCCCGAAGUGGGGAAUAACUGCCCGAAAGGGUGGCUAAUACCGCAUGUGGUGGUGAGUUCAUUCUCACCAGUAAAGCCGCAAGGCGCUUCGGGAGGGGCCUGCGUCCGAUUAGCUCGUUGGUGGGGUAACGGCUCACCAAGGCGACGAUCGGUAGGUGGUCUGAGAGGACGAUCACCCAGACUGGGACUGAGACACGGCCUAGACUCCUACGGGAGGCAGCAGUCGGGAAUUUGCGCAAUGGGCGAAAGCCUGACGCAGCAACGCCGCGUGAGGGAUGAAGGCCUUCGGGUUGUAAACCUCUUUUCUCAGGAAGAUAAUGACGGUACCUGAGGAAUAAGCCACGGCUAACUACGUGCCAGCAGCCGC